rnacentral:rRNA from 1 species
UACAGAGGGGGCAAGCGUUGUUCGGAAUUACUGGGCGUAAAGGGGCGCGUAGGCGGCCGCCUAAGUCAGACGUGAAAUCCCUCGGCUCAACCGGGGGAACUGCGUCUGAUACUGGGGUGGCUUGAAAUUCGGGAGAGGGAUGCGGAAUUCCAGGUGUAGCGGUGAAAUGCGUAGAUAUCUGGAGGAACACCGGUGGCGAAGGCGGCAUCCUGGAC